UCUCAGUUCGGAUUGGAGUCUGCAACUCGACUCCAUGAAGCUGGAUUCGCUAGUAAUCGCGCAUCAGCCAUGGCGCGGUGAAUACGUUCCCGGGCCUUGUACACACCGCCCGUCAAGCCAUGGGAGUCGGGAGUGCCUGAAGUUCGUGACCGUAUAGGAGCGACCUAGGGCAAGACUGAUGACUGGGGCUAAGUCGUAACAAGGUAAC
rnacentral:rRNA from 1 species